AGCGCGUGGCUCCGACUGGACUUUCCCGCGGGGGCGGGGGUGGAUGGGAGUGGUUAGGGGAGUAAAGUACUGUGUGUGUCUGUGUGUGUGUGUGUGUGUGUGUGUGUGAGAGAGAGAGAGAGAGAGAGAGAGAGAGAGAGGGAGAGAGAGAGAGAGAGAGAGAGAGAGAGAGAGAGGGAGAGAGAGGACCCUUUUUUGGCCCCCUUUCCAUCUUCUCGCUUCGCAGUCAGCUUAGGGCAACUCAAACUCGCCUAAGACCUCAGCGUGCCAGACUCCAAGCGGAGCUGGGGAAAUUUGGCUUCGUUUUCCUAAGGCUGGGGAAUGAGCUCCGGAGGUCAAUAAAGCCCUCCAAAAACGAUGAAUGAUUGAGCACCUGUGAUGAUGAUAGUGAUUACCAGAGCAAUUAAACAGUUUGAUUAAAUGAGCCAUCAUAACAAUGAUGUCUGCGGGAAAUCGGCCCUCACUUAUAAAGAAAGACAGUGUGGAGGGACGGGCAGAGGCGCCGGCGGCGCGCCGCGGGGACAGGGACCGAGGCCCGCGCAGGUUUGGCCCGAGUGACCGAAGCUGGGACUACGGGCUCCCGAGACUCCGGGAAGGAGAACGCGGAGCCUGAGGUUCCCGCAUCUGCCCGCUCCCAGCCUGCGCUAGCUCACCGGGCUGCUCCGCAAUGGGAAAGACCAGGAGGAUCCUUCACCCUCCACCUCCUUUUUUUUUUUUUUCUUAGAAGAAUUCCAAGACUAAAAAUAUCCUUCUCAUUUGAUGCUGAGUUGCUCGUCAAAAUGUAAGAAAAGGAUUCCCGCCAAGUCUGAUAGGAAAGACAAGACCACUUCUGCGCUAGCUUUAAGGAUGUUUUAGUUUCCCCACGACUAAAGCACUCUUCGUGAACCUUUGAAGAUAUUUAAGAUAGGUUUGUUUGGGCAUCUAAAGACGCUACAGACGCAAAGUUAGUUCGGCUUCAAGCCAUCAACCCCAGCAUUUUUUUUUUUAAAUCUAGCUUUCCCAUACUCAUACUUGCCUCGAAAAUAAACAUCAUAAAAAAAAAGUGCAAUGUAAAAGAAAGUUCGCAGCUUGCAUCUGUAGAUCUUCGUGCGCUCAGUUUAUAAACAUCUUCCCGGCAGGGUUUGCCCCUGACUGCCUCCCCACUCGCUCGACUCGACGGCGUCAUCGAGGGAUGCUGGGAUCGCCCCCAGAGAGCUGUGUUUACUUAGUUUUUUCUUUUUUUUAAUUCUCUCCGCUGUGUAUGACAAGUGUUAUUUGAAGAAAUUCAUCAGCCUUGUCCAGAUACUUGCAGUCCUGCAGUAAUGGUCUGCCGAGGAGAACCGCUGUCACAUUCUCACUUCCCAAGGUGUUGCGGGGACGCGGAGAGGGGGAGAGAGGCUGCAGCGCUUAAUUACCGAGGGGACGAGGGGGAGGGAAGCGGGGACGCGCCCGGGCACCGCGCUGAGAUGAGUUGCUAAAGGUAUGGUUACCUUUUUAAUUCUUUUUACACCCCCCCCCUCCACCACCACCCAAUGCCUUUGGGAAGAAGUGAUAUCCUUGUGGAACAAUUAGCUCAGACAAUAAAAAUAAUUGGAAAAUCA